rnacentral:rRNA from 1 species
GAUGAACGCUGGCGGCGUGCCUAAUACAUGCAAGUCGAGCGAAUGGAUUAAGAGCUUGCUCUUAUGAAGUUAGCGGCGGACGGGUGAGUAACACGUGGGUAACCUGCCCAUAAGACUGGGAUAACUCCGGGAAACCGGGGCUAAUACCGGCUAACAUUUUGAACCGCAUGGUUCGACAUUAAACGGCGGCUUCGGCUGUCACUUAUGGAUGGACCCGGGUCGCAUUAGCUAGUUGGUGAGGUAACGGCUCACCAAGGCAACGAUGCGUAGCCGACUUGAGAGGGUGAUCGGCCACACUGGGACUGCGACACGGCCAAGACUCCUACGGGAGGCAGCAGUAGGGAAUCUUCCGUAAUGGACGAAAGUCUGACGGAGCAACGCCGCGUGAGUGAUGAAGGCUUUCGGGUCGUAAAACUCUGUUGUUAGGGAAGAACAAGUGCUAGUUGAAUAAGCUGGCACCUUGACGGUACCUAACCAGAAAGCCACGGCUAACUACGUGCCAGCCGCCGCAGUAA